UAGCGUAGGGUGCAAGCGUUGUCCGGAAUUAUUGGGCGUAAAGAGCUCGUAGGCGGUUUGUCGCGUCUGCUGUGAAAACCUAAGGCUCAACCUUGGGCUUGCAGUGGGUACGGGCAGACUAGAGUGCGGUAGGGGUGACUGGAAUUCCUGGUGUAGCGGUGGAAUGCGCCAGAUAUCGAGGAGGAACACCGAUGGCGAGC
rnacentral:rRNA from 1 species